GCGUCUAGCCAAUAGGCAGCGGCGGCGGGCGGGCGCGGGCGACAGGCGGCGCGGCUGAGGCGGAGCAGGCGCUGCGGCAGGAGGGAAGAUGGCGGACGAGGAGAAGCUGCCGCCCGGCUGGGAGAAGCGCAUGAGCCGCAGCUCAGAUGAGAAAACUGAGGUGCAGGGAGAUUAGAGCCCAUUGCCAAGGUUUUAGAGUGAGUCAGUAGCUCAGCUGCAUUUGCACCUGGAACCCGCGCUCUCGCCCACCCUGCUCUAGCCCUGGCCUGUGGCUGGGACCUCCAGCAUAAACCGGAUGCUCUGCCCAGCUCUGGGCCCAUUUCUGCUCAGUUCAACCCUGAUGGCUUCCUUUAUGGGUGACACUCCAUGUCACCCAGGCGAACUGUCAGCCUUUGGAGUGGCACCCAGUAGGGUCUUUACUUCCAGCUUCUUGUUCACAGUCUUCACUCCUUCAUACCCCUCACUCCCUGGGUAACAUCGGGCCACCAGUAAUGCUGGUUCCUAGCUC
rnacentral:sRNA from 1 species